UAAGGAAUAUUGCUCAAUGGGAGAAAUCCUGAAGCAGCAACGCCGCGUGGAGGAUGAAGGGUCUAUGACUUGUAAACUCCUGUAAAGAAGGAAAAAAUUCCCAUUUGAUGGGAGAUGAUGGUACUUCUGGAGUAAGCCCCGGCUAACUACGUGCCAGCAGCUGCGGUAAUACGUAGGGGGCGAGCGUUAUUCGGAAUUACUGGGUGUAAAGGGUAUGUAGGCGGCCCUUCAAGUCGCGUGUCAAAGUCCAGUGCUCAACGCUGGGUGUGCGCGCGAUACUGACGGGCUUGAAGGCUGGAGAGGUGAGCGGAAUUCCCGGUGUAGUGGUAAAAUACGUAGAGAUCGGGAGGAACACCAGCGGCGCAGGCGGCUCACUAGACAGUUUCUGACGCUAAGAUACGAAAGCGUGGGGAGCAAACA
rnacentral:rRNA from 1 species